UGGGGAGGGAAGGAAGGAAAGCAAGGAGACGACUUCAGUCCUGGAGAGCGGGAUGGCGCCCAGGGGCUGGGGGACCGAAAGGGCGUCAGUGGGGAGUGGGCGAUGAAAGGGGAGGUGGUGAGGGUGCCAGUGCGCUGGGGAUGGGCCAUGAGGGGGUGCCCAUCUGGUGGCUGGUUUGCACAGGGAAGCAUGGGACAAGGUCAUCCGCUGGCGGGCAGGGGUCGGGCGGGGGUGGGGGGAGGCCUGGAAGGAGAUGUCCCUCGUGUGAACCAGCAGAAAAGCCAGCGCCAGAGAUGCAGGGAGAAGGCCCUGUGCCCGCCUGAGGUCUGUGAUGUCUCCGAUUCAGGUUUCUCUUCUGGCCAAGCCUAACCCGGAACCACGGAUGGAAGGGCGCUCCGAGACACAAGGCCCUGCCUCAGCUACGUUGUCACAAGAUGCAGCCAUCGCGGGCGCAGAGGGACGUCUUUGUCCAUCAGAUGGCGGCCCUGCCCCGCGUGUGGCCCUCAGUGGGGUCCAGUGACUUCACGAGCCUCGAGCUCCCUCCUGGGGCACCGGGCUCUGCGAUGUCUGCUCCCUGACCUCAGCCAGGACCCCCUCGCCCGUCCCGGCUGCACUGCUCCUCCUCGAGCUCCUCAGGCCUCCACGGGGCACCCUGGCCCUUGGACUUCAGUGCCCUCGGCCUGGGGUCCCCGUUCCAGGCCUCGGCCUCCACGGCCCUGCCUCCCUCUGGAACAUUUCCCUCCUUUUCUGGUGCGUCUCCCUCACGAGGACGUCCCCUCCUCGAGGCCCCUCAGCAGGCAUCCUGGCUCGGAGCAGGCAUUCUGCCCGCGGUAACCCUCUGCCUGCAGGAGCCUCCGAGUUGGAAGAGACGGGCCUUCGGGAGGAUGCUGGCGGGAGGUGCGCCCGUCCUGCAACAGGAGGACGAGGCCGACCCAGACGUAAAAUUAAAACCCUCCCUGAGGACGCCGAAGGCCUCCUGGAGCCAUCACCCAUGCCAGCCCCCUCCCCAGAAGGAACUGCCAUCAUCCAGGUCCCCAUGUGCAUGCAUCUCCUGCCCCCCAACUCCUUCCCCCCCAUCCGCCCCC
ensembl:lncRNA